rnacentral:rRNA from 1 species
UACGUAGGUGGCAAGCGUUGUCCGGAUUUACUGGGCGUAAAGGGCGUGCAGGCGGUUUGUCUAGUCUAGGGUGAAAGCUCCCGGCUUAACUGGGAGAGGUCCUUGAAUACUGGCAAACUUGAGGGAGGCAGAGGAAAGUGGAAUUCCCGGUGUAGUGGUGAUAUGCGUAGAUAUCGGGAGGAACACCAGUGGCGAAGGCGGCUUCUGGGCCUUACCUGACGCUGAGACGCGAAAGCGUGGGGAGCGAACCGG